rnacentral:other from 1 species
GUAGCACCCGCCCCCCAGGCUGGGUGAGGAUUGAAAC